rnacentral:rRNA from 1 species
AUUGAACGCUGGCGGCAGGCCUAACACAUGCCAGUCGAGCGGAUGAAGGGAGCUUGCUCCUGGAUUCAGCGGCGGACGGGUGAGUAAUGCCUAGGAAUCUGCCUGGUAGUGGGGGAUAACGUCCGGAAACGGGCGCUAAUACCGCAUACGUCCUGAGGGAGAAAGUGGGGGAUCUUCGGACCUCACGCUAUCAGAUGAGCCUAGGUCGGAUUAGCUAGUUGGUGGGGUAAAGGCCUACCAAGGCGACGAUCCGUAACUGGUCUGAGAGGAUGAUCAGUCACACUGGAACUGAGACACGGUCCAGACUCCUACGGGAGGCAGCAGUGGGGAAUAUUGGACAAUGGGCGAAAGCCUGAUCCAGCCAUGCCACGUGUGUGAAGAAGGUCUUCGGAUUGUAAAGCACUUUAAGUUGGGAGGAAGGGCAGUAAGUUAAUACCUUGCUGUUUUGACGUUACCAAAAGAAUAAGCACCGGCUAACUUCGUG